GCUGGAGAGACCGUUGCUGAUCCCCAGAGGCAAGCAGCAACCAGUCCAGUCGCUUCCUGGCCAGGCCCUCCAGAGUCUACUGUGGACUCGUCCACUCUGAUCGAAAGGCCAGCUACAACCACUGCAGCGGCUUCCCGUCCAGGCCCCCCC